GACGAACGCUGGCGGCGUGCCUAAUACAUGCAAGUUGAGCGAUGAAGAUUGGUGCUUGCACCAAUUUGAAGAGCAGCGAACGGGUGAGUAACGCGUGGGGAAUCUGCCUUUGAGCGGGGGACAACAUUUGGAAACGAAUGCUAAUACCGCAUAAUAACUUUAAACAUAAGUUUUAAGUUUGAAAGAUGCAAUUGCAUCACUCAAAGAUGAUCCCGCGUUGUAUUAGCUAGUUGGUGAGGUAAAGGCUCACCAAGGCGAUGAUACAUAGCCGACCUGAGAGGGUGAUAGGCCACAUUGGGACUGAGACACGGCCCAAAAUCCUACGGGAGGCAGCAGUAGGGAAUAUUCGGCAAUGGACGAAAGUCUGACCGAGCAACGCCGCGUGAGUGAAGAAGGUUGUCGGAUCGUAAAACUCUGUUGGUAGAGAAGAACGUUGGUGAGAGUGGAAAGCUCAUCAAGUGACGGUAACUACCCAGAAAGGGACGGCUAACUACGUG
rnacentral:rRNA from 1 species